rnacentral:rRNA from 1 species
UUGACCUCGGAUCAGGUAGGACUACCCGCUGAACUUAAGCAUAUCAAUAAGCGGAGGAAAAGAAACCAACAGGGAUUGCCCCAGUAACGGCGGAUGAAGCGGCAACAGCUCAGAUUUGGAAUCUGGCCCCCAGGGCCCCAGUUGUAAUCUGGAGAGGAUGUUUCUGGCGCGGCGCCUUCCGAGUUCCCUGGAACAGGACGCCAGAGAGGGUGAGAGCCCCGUACGGUUGGACGCCCAAGCCUUUGUGAAGCUCCUUCGACGAGUCGAGUAGUUUGGGAAUGCUGCUCAAAAUGGGAGGUAAAUUUCUUCUAAAGCUAAAUACCGGCCAGAGACCGAUAGCGCACAAGUAGAGUGAUCGAAAGAUGAAAAGCACUUUGAAAAGAGGGUCAAACAGUACGUGAAAUUGUUGAAAGGGAAG